rnacentral:rRNA from 1 species
GACGAACGCUGGCGGCGCGCUUAACACAUGCCAGUCGAGCGAGCUAACUUUAACAGUACCCUUCGCGGCGAGGAUAAAGGGGAUUAACGGCUGACGGGUUAGUAACACGUGAGUAAUCUGCCUUAGACAUUGGGAUAGCUUCGGUAAACGGGGAUCAAUGCCAAAUAAAAUCAUAAUGACACAUGUCAUCACGUUCAAAACUCCUGUGUUCGAGGAUGGACUCGCGUCCCAAUAGUUAGUUGGUAGAGUAAAAGCCUACCAAGGCGACGAUGGGUAGCCGGUCUGAGAGGAUGAGCAGCCACAUUGGAACUGAGACACGGUCCAGACUCCUACGGGAGGCAGCAGUGGGGAAUAUUGCACAAUGGAGGGAACUCUGAUGCAGCCACGCCGCGUGAACGAAGAAGGCUUUCGAGUCGUAAAGUUCUUUUAUAUGGGAAGAUAAUGACGGUACCCUAAGAAAAAGCCCCGGCUAACUACGUG